rnacentral:lncRNA from 1 species
GCCUUUUCAAAUAUAAAUUAAAGGGCUUAAACCUUGAUCUUGAAUCUGAACUUGAUUGAUAGACUUGAGGGAUUUGAUCUUGACUUGUGCUUGAAUUCAAGGGCUUUUGAGCUUAUUCUUGAAUAUUGCAGUCUUAAUCUUGAAUCUUCAUGAACUUGUUUUGAAUGCCCGAGCUUUGUAAAGAAAUUGCAGCGUUUGAUCCACAAUCUUUCUCUUGCUUCUUGUUAGAGUUCUGGGGGUUUUUUUUCUGAAUUAUGAGACCCCUAUUUAUAGUUGUAGGAAAGGAAGAGUCAUGAUGAAUAUUACUUUCUUUGACCAAUCAAAUUUAAUUGAUGUAGUGACUUUUUAUGGGUUGUUAUUUCAUGGGCCUGCUGCAUCAUUUUGACAUGUGGCAUGGUU